rnacentral:rRNA from 1 species
GAGAGUUUGAUCCUGGCUCAGAUUGAACGCUGGCGGCAGGCCUAACACAUGCAAGUCGAGCGGUAGCACAGAGAGCUUGCUCUCGGGUGACGAGCGGCGGACGGGUGAGUAAUGUCUGGGAAACUGCCUGAUGGAGGGGGAUAACUACUGGAAACGGUAGCUAAUACCGCAUAACGUCGCAAGACCAAAGUGGGGGACCUUCGGGCCUCAUGCCAUCAGAUGUGCCCAGAUGGGAUUAGCUAGUAGGUGGGGUAAUGGCUCACCUAGGCGACGAUCCCUAGCUGGUCUGAGAGGAUGACCAGCCACACUGGAACUGAGACACGGUCCAGACUCCUACGGGAGGCAGCAGUGGGGAAUAUUGCACAAUGGGCGCAAGCCUGAUGCAGCCAUGCCGCGUGUAUGAAGAAGGCCUUCGGGUUGUAAAGUACUUUCAGCGAGGAGGAAGGCGUUAAGGUUAAUAACCUUGGCGAUUGACGUUACUCGCAGAAGAAGCACCGGCUAACUCCGUGCCAGCAGCCGCGGUAAUACGGAGGGUGCAAGCGUUAAUCGGAAUUACUGGGCGUAAAGCGCACGCAGGCGGUCUGUCAAGUCGGAUGUGAAAUCCCCGGGCUCAACCUGGGAACUGCAUUCGAAACUGGCAGGCUAGAGUCUUGUAGAGGGGGGUAGAAUUCCAGGUGUAGCGGUGAAAUGCGUAGAGAUCUGGAGGAAUACCGGUGGCGAAGGCGGCCCCCUGGACAAAGACUGACGCUCAGGUGCGAAAGCGUGGGGAGCAAACAGGAUUAGAUACCCUGGUAGUCCACGCCGUAAACGAUGUCGACUUGGAGGUUGUGCCCUUGAGGCGUGGCUUCCGGAGCUAACGCGUUAAGUUGACCGCCUGGGGAGUACGGCCGCAAGGUUAAAACUCAAAUGAAUUGACGGGGGCCCGCACAAGCGGUGGAGCAUGUGGUUUAAUUCGAUGCAACGCGAAGAACCUUACCUACUCUUGACAUCCAGAGAACUUAGCAGAGAUGCUUUGGUGCCUUCGGGAACUCUGAGACAGGUGCUGCAUGGCUGUCGUCAGCUCGUGUUGUGAAAUGUUGGGUUAAGUCCCGCAACGAGCGCAACCCUUAUCCUUUGUUGCCAGCGAUUCGGUCGGGAACUCAAAGGAGACUGCCAGUGAUAAACUGGAGGAAGGUGGGGAUGACGUCAAGUCAUCAUGGCCCUUACGAGUAGGGCUACACACGUGCUACAAUGGCAUAUACAAAGAGAAGCGACCUCGCGAGAGCAAGCGGACCUCAUAAAGUAUGUCGUAGUCCGGAUUGGAGUCUGCAACUCGACUCCAUGAAGUCGGAAUCGCUAGUAAUCGUAGAUCAGAAUGCUACGGUGAAUACGUUCCCGGGCCUUGUACACACCGCCCGUCACACCAUGGGAGUGGGUUGCAAAAGAAGUAGGUAGCUUAACCUUCGGGAGGGCGCUUACCACUUUGUGAUUCAUGACUGGGGUGAGGUCGUAACAAGGUAGCCG